GAUGAACGCUGGCGGCGUGCUUAACACAUGCAAGUCGAACGGAAAGGCUCCUGCUUGCAGGGGUACUCGAGUGGCGAACGGGUGAGUAACACGUGGGUGAUCUGCCCUGCACUUCGGGAUAAGCCUGGGAAACUGGGUCUAAUACCGGAUAGGACGAUGGUUUGGAUGCCAUUGUGGAAAGUUUUUUCGGUGUGGGAUGAGCUCGCGGCCUAUCAGCUUGUUGGUGGGGUAUUGGCCUACCAAGGCGUCGACGGGUAGCCGGCCUGAGAGGGUGUACGGCCACAUUGGGACUGAGAUACGGCCCAGACUCCUACGGGAGGCAGCAGUGGGGAAUAUUGCACAAUGGGCGCAAGCCUGAUGCAGCGACGCCGCGUGGGGGAUGACGGCCUUCGGGUUGUAAACUCCUUUCGCUAGGGACGAAGCGCAAGUGACGGUACCUGGAGAAGAAGCACCGGCUAACUACGUG
rnacentral:rRNA from 1 species